AACAAAGAGAAAGAAAAAGACAGGGUUACCCAAACCCCAACGAACAAACUGUGGCAGUUUGGUAUGCUUUGAAGUUUGAAGGCUCUGAAAUUCCGAAAAGGAAAUGCAGGGUGGUGUUCCCUCUGAAUCUGAAUCCGAAUCUGAUAUCAUCAGCAAUCCCCAUAAUCGGACGGUGGUAGAUGAACAACAAGCUUCGUUCAAAAGCUGGGCAAAGCAAACAGAGGAGAGUUAUCAGUUGCAGCUUGCACUGGCGCUUCGUCUUUCCUCUCAGUAUGCUUCUACCAAUGAUCCCAAUUUCUUGGACUUGGGACCCACCUCUUCUUCUUCCUCAUCCAAUUCCGCUCAACCACUCUCACACCGUUUUUGGGUAAAUGGUUGUUUGCAAUACUCUGACAAAAUUGUAGAUGGCUUUUACCUAAUCCAUGGAAUGGAUGCGUAUACAUGGAAUAUGAGUACUGAUAUGCAGAAUGUUGGUAUGAUUCCAUCAUUAGAAUCACUGAUGUCAGUUGAACUUUGUGAUGACUCAUCAAUUGUAGUGGUUGCUAUUGAUAAAUCUAGAGAUCCUGGUUUGAGAGAACUGCAAAGUAGGGUAGUAAAUCUUUCAAGCAACUGGAUAACUACGAAAGAUGCAACUGAUAAGCUUGCAAAUCUUGUGUAUAGUAGGAUGGGGGGAGGAUCUUCAACUGAGGAGAAUUUAGGUACACGCUGGCGGGAAUGCACCCAAAUCCUUAAAAGCCGCCUGCAUUCUGUCAUUCUUCCAAUUGGAAGCCUACCCGUUGGCCUUUGUGUCCACCGAGCAUUGCUCUUUAAAGUGUUAGCUGACUUAAUCAAUCUACCAUGCCGAAUUGCUAAGGGCUGCAAGUAUUGUAGGAUGGACCGGGGUGCUUCUUGUAUAGUGCAAUUUGGUCCUGACAGGGAGUAUAUGGUUGAUUUGGUUGGAAGGCCUGGGGCAACGUGCCAACCUGAUUCUGCUCUAAAUUCUGCAUCUUCAAUGUUGAUCCCUUCACCGUUAUGUCAUCCAAAGUUCAAGCCAGUUGAAACAGCUGAAUUUACAAAGACAUUAGCCCAAUUGUAUUUCAUGGACAGUCAAGCACUGCAUCUUGUAUUUGAUACGACGUCAGGAGGUGCUGUUAAUUGUAGUGAUGGAAUAGAUCUACUGCGAAUUGAAGCUUUUGGUGCAAACUAUACUGGUGGAAACAGCCAUCUGGCUGAUUUGAGUCCUGGUAGAGAGGAAUACGUGUCUUACAAAGACGCAAACCAGUCGGUCAUGAAUUAUCCAAGUCAUGAAGUUGACCUUCACAAGGAGGAACUGGACAUUCCAUUGGGUGAACUUAUUUUGAAGGAGAACAUUGGUACAGGGUCAUUUGGAACUGUCCUUCGUGCAGACUGGCGUGGUUCCGAUGUUGCUGUGAAGAUUCUCAAGGUGCAAGGUUUUGAUGCAGAACAAUUUGAAGAAUUUCUAAAGGAGGUCUCACUCAUGAAGCGCCUGCGGCAUCCAAAUAUUGUACUUUUAAUGGGUGCAGUUUUUCAACCCCCAAAUUUAUCAAUAGUAACAGAGUAUUUAUCAAGAGGUAGCUUGUAUGAACUUCUGCAUAUACCCGGUGUUGGAUUAUCACUCAGUGAGAGGCGUCGUUUGAGAAUGGCUUAUGAUGUGGCAAGUGGAAUGAAUUAUCUUCAUCAAAUGAGACCUCCCAUUGUUCAUAGAGAUUUGAAGUCUCCAAAUUUGUUAGUUGAUGAUUCAUACACAGUUAAGGUAGGUGACUUUGGUCUUUCACGUACAAAGGCAAAUACAUUUCUUUCAUCUAAAACAGCAGCCGGAACUCCUGAAUGGAUGGCACCAGAAGUCAUUCGAGGUGAAUCAUCAAAUGAAAAAUGUGAUGUGUUCAGCUUUGGUGUAAUCUUGUGGGAAUUAGUGACCCUGCAACAGCCAUGGAAACAAUUAAAUCCUUCACAGCUGUUGGUUUUAUGGACAAAAGGCUAGAGAUUCCAAGCCAGGUGAAUCCUCAAGUAGCUGCCUUGAUUGAGCUCUGCUGGGCUACUGAACCCUGGAGACGGCCUUCUUUCUCCUAUGUUAUGAAAUGUUUGCAGCAAAUAAUUGCCGAUUCCAAAAGGUGAGCAUUUUCAUGCAAUAAUCUUCAACCUGUAUACGGAUGAGAAACAACAAUAUUGAACAAGAAAAUAAAAGGGAUUAAAGUUUAUUUGGGUAUGUCUUAAUUUGAAUUUAUUUAAAUGCAGCAUUGCUGUUAUUUAUUUUCCUUAUGUAGUUAGGCUGUUUAUUUUCUGUAAUUAGACAAAUCCUACUCUGAUUUUUAGGUGGGUCCUAAAAUCAUGGGUAAAGAUACCUAACAUUUGUAUAUAUUUUCAUCUGAUCCUUUAAAUACUAUUUAUGAGCAUAAUUUGCACUAGACGUGCAAAUGAAUU